UAAACAAUUAAAAAGAUAUUAAAAAAAAAACUUACAUGCACUUCUUUCCAUUUAGAUGGGUUCAAGGGGUCUUCCCAAAAAUUCAACUUUGGAGGUCCACAACGAUCUGCAACAAAACCCAAUCACCAAAAAAAGACAUUUGUUUUAUUGAAAUCAACUCAAAAUGAAGAAAGACAUGAUUUUUCUUAUCAUUGUUAUAAAAUGGUGAUAAAAGUGUGAAACGGUAGUACCACCGCCACUGGCGGUGAGGCUACGGUAGUGGAUGAGGGUGGCAGCUUGAGGAGUUGAAUAAGUUGACUUUGGUGAGGACAGCCGUGCCAGAUUGGUGGCCUGGCUAGCCCUAGUGGUCCACGUUGACAUAGUUUUGGUACAAGCUGCUCUCUCUGUUUUUUGGAGUGCUUUUGAGAGUGUGUAUAGCAUGCUUUUCCCCCUUCUCCGAUUACCCUUCUAUCAGAUAAAACUUCUGGAGAAUGAAAGCAAAUGAAGCUUUUGGAGAAGCUUCCUUUAAGACCAAAAUUACUCUUAAAUCUUUUGAACCUUCCAUCGCUAAGUUGUCCCUUCAAUACAAAUAAGGGUAAUUUUCAAUAAUAAAUCAAAAUGUAAUUAAUAAACUAAAAUUAAUCCAGAAUAGAUAAAAAAGGCAAAUUGCUAGAGCCAAAUUGGCGAGUCUUUCAAUGUUCUUCAUUGUCAUCGUUUAUUUAUAAUAUAACAGCCACGAAAACUCGAACUUCUUUUUAACUAAAAAAAAUAAAAGUUAAAAUAAAUCAAAACAAUUAAUGAAUUAGUUGAGGAAAAAAUAAAAUUAAGAUUUAAAUAAACUUCCAAGUAAAAUUAGGAUUAAAUUUUUUUUAUUAUUCUUUUUCUUAAAUUGAGAAAAAAUAUGGAUAACAGUAUAAAUCAUAUCUGAUAUAUGACAAAAAAAAGUAAAAAAUCAGACAUGCAAAAUUUGAUUAACAUUGAAAACACAAAAACUGAGAAACAUAGAAAAAAUCCUCACAACAGAACUUAUCCUAACACUUCAAAUAUGCAGAGACUGCAAAUCCAAGAUAUAUAUAUAUAUAUCUAUAUAUAUAAAAGCUAUGAACAUUAAACUGAAACUGACGUUAAGUACAACGUUAGUAACAUUGCUAUCUAUUAUCAUAUCUUUCAACAUCUUAGCUUCACCUGCGAUUUCAAGCUCCAACACCCACCUUUACAGCGCUAAAACCGUCCAACUCCACUCAGCAUUUGAUCUGCGAAGCCUUGCUUUUGACCCCAAUAGAGAUGAUCCAUACACCGGCGUUGCUGAUGGUCGGAUUUGAAGAAGAAAAGUAGAGCAUAAUGGAAGAAGACAGGAAAAAAAGCGAGAGAGGACAACUGGAGGCGGAGAAAACAAAGCAAAGCAAUUUUUUAUUACUCAAAUUAACCUUCAACUUUUUUAAUGACUUUAAAAAUGUGGAUAGUACAAGUGAGAUAGGAGAUUAUUUUUAAUCUAUGUACGGAUAAUUGAAAUUAAUAUGAUUACAUCUUAUG
rnacentral:lncRNA from 1 species